rnacentral:tRNA from 1 species
AGCGGUGUAGCCAAGCGGUAAGGCAAUGGACUUUGACUCCAUGAUUUCGUGCGUUCGAAUCGCACCAUCGCUACCA